AUGCAGGGGCUUCCCUGGGGAUUUCCUCAGGGACAAUCCCGGGGAAGGGUGGAGACCACCUCUUCUGGAAGGAGAUGACCUCUGAGUCUGUGGUCCUAUCUCCUGGGCUCAGGAAACUGGAAGCUGAAAGAACACCCGUAUUAUAUUACACCUCAUGAUUCCUGAUGGAGGGGAAGGCUUGACAGAAUGGUCAUGAUCCCAGGGUCCUGGAAUUGAGCCCUGCAUUGGGCUUCCUGUGCAGCCAGAAGCCUGCUUCUCUUCUGCCAUUAAAAAAAAAAAAAGAAGAAGAAGAAGAAGAAGAGCACGGUCCUUCAUAACUAACUGGGGAAUUUAGCUGCCAAGAAUUCCCCUUGCCAUGACUGCAGCUCAUGGUGUAAUAUGAUCAGGACCUAAGGUCUCAUUGCAAGAGGCAGCCUGAUUUCUACCAAGAACCCUUCUAUCUCUCAGCUGAUGACCCUCUGCCUUCUGGAAGAUGUAUACGUAAUUUGACACCAGGAUUCUUCUUUUAAAAGGAAUCGCCCCUCUAAGGGAUAAAUCAAGGAGCAUCGGUAUUUGGGGAGGAUGGCAUACAGACUGAAAGGGCACGUCUCCAAGCUCUGAAAGUCUGAAUCAGGAACUGCACCCUAAGAACCUGUAAGGCUCAGAACCUGAAAC